GACGACGACGACCGCGAGCUUCAUGGGUUUAUAGAUACUCCUUGGCAGCCAGUCUUUGUAUGGAGUCCACCGUGAUCUACUGUAUAGAGCCCAUUCAAGAUGUAGGAGCCUUUUUUUUCUUCAAACUGUGGGUCCAGUGACUACUAGGGGGUCUCUGCAAACUUUCAAUGAGGACCAUUAGACUUCUUGAGAAGGAUUGGCUCAGGGAAGGAUUGACUGCAACCAUCUCACCCCAACCCCUGGGUGCAUCAGCAUUGGAUAUUAUGGGUUAAACCUCCUGUCUAUUGUUUAGGGUCACUAAUGGUUAAAGAAGUGGACUUGUGUUCAGAUGGAUGAAGAUUCAGUCUCAGUACUAGCAGGGAUUGUACAUGUUGGGAUUGAAUAACCAGCACUCUCAACACACUCUAUACCAGUGGUGGGCAAACUUUUUAGACCUGAGGACCACAUUAAGUUUUGCAAACUAAGUGAAGGGCCACUUGUCAAAUUCUUCAAAAAAUAACUUUAUUUAUAGUGGCAGUAUGCAUGAAACCUGUAAUAUCAGACAGCAACAUGUCACAUUAACACAAAACAGACUUUUUUAUAUUAUUAAGUCAAAUUUACAAGUCAAAUUAAUUUGCACUGCUAUUUAUAUUUACUUAUCAAUUAUCAUAAAACAAUAAAAUAAUCCCUUAUAAAGUAUAAUAAUAAUAAUGUAAUAAUUUUUACUGUGGAAAAUAGAAAAGAUAUU